AGUGAACGCUGGCGGUAGGCCUAACACAUGCAAGUCGAACGGCAGCACAGUAAGAGCUUGCUCUUUCGGGUGGCGAGUGGCGGAUGGGUGCGGAAUACAUCGGAAUCUACUUUUUCGUACGGGCUAUCGUAGGGACACUUACGCUAAUACCGCAUACGACCUACGGGUGAAAGCAGGGGAUCUUCCGCCCUUGCGCGAUUCAAUGAGCCGAUGUCGGAUUAGCUAGUUGGCGGGGUAAAGGCCCACCAAGGCGACGAUCCGUAGCUGGUCUGAGAGGAUGAUCAGCCACACUGGAACUGAGACACGGUCCAGACUCCUACGGGAGGCAGCAGUGGGGAAUAUUGGACAAUGGGCGCAAGCCUGAUCCAGCCAUACCGCGUGGGUGAAGAAGGCCUUCGGGUUGUAAAGCCCUUUUGUUGGGAAAGAAAAGCAGCAGGUUAAUACCCCGCUGUUCUGACGGUACCCAAAGAAUAAGCACCGGCUAACUUCGUG
rnacentral:rRNA from 1 species